GCCGCAGUACAUUGACUGUGCAAAGGUAGCAUAAUCAGUUGACUCUUAAUUGGGGCCGGGAAUGAACGAAAAUACGGAAAAGAGCUGUCCCUUUAGUAUAAGCGAAUUUGGUUAACAAGUGCAAAUACUUGUGUAGUUAAAUAAGACGAGAAGACCCUUGAAGCUUUAGUUAAUUCUUUUGUUGGGGCGACAGAAUUACAUUUAACUAAUUUGUUAAUACUUGAAGGCUUACAUGUACGUUUAAGCUACUCGA
rnacentral:rRNA from 1 species